rnacentral:rRNA from 1 species
CCUANGGGGGGCAGCAGUGGGGAAUCUUGCACAAUGGACGAAAGUCUGAUGCAGCGACGCCGCGUGAGCGAUGAAGCCCUUCGGGGUGUAAAGCUCUUUCGACAGGAACGAUAAUGACGGUACCUGGAGAAGAAGCUGCGGCUAACUACGUGCCAGCAGCCGCGGUAAUACGUAGGCAGCGAGCGUUGUUCGGAAUUACUGGGCGUAAAGGGUGCGUAGGCGGCGCCUUAAGUUUGGUGUGAAAUCUCCCGGCUCAACCGGGAGGGUGCGCCGAAAACUGAGGCGCUCGAGUGUGGGAGAGGUAAGCGGAAUUCCUGGUGUAGCGGUGAAAUGCGUAGAUAUCAGGAGGAACACCGGCGGUGUAGACGGCUUACUGGACCACUACUGACGCUGAGGCACGAAAGUGUGGGGAGCAAACAGGAUUAGAUACCCCUNUANUC